GACAUUCUUACUGGACUCUCCCUCGGUCGUUAUUCUGCAUUACCAUCUAUCUCCAUGCUUGUCUUUGCUGGGACGGAAAUUCUUCUUUCUAAUCCGCCGUUUUCAUUUUCGAAGCACGAAUGAUUGAUUCUCUAUGUUUGCUUCAUCUUUUGGUGCUUGUAAUGGCGUCCUCGAUAAAUUCCUUUUGUUCUUUUCACAUUCCCUCGUAAUGCUCCUUUUUAUCCAGAGCCCUUUCAGAACGUUCUGCUGAUAUUAUGGUAUUCUCUUUUUUACAUGGAAGAAAAGGAUGCUUUCGUUAUUUGUGGGUAAAACAACAAAAUCAUGUAUAAGGAACGAAUUUAAACUUUUUUUUCUUGGCUGUUUCAAUAACCCCAAGUGGCAAAGACAACUAAAACUGAACCAUCAAGUUUUGCUGUCUCCCAUCGGACUUUUCAGAUCCUCAACCGAACGUUCUUUCCCCCGCCCCCCCCCCUUUUUUUUUUUAAGUUUAGCUUAACAGAGCAUCUCUCGUUUCUUUGAAUCUGAUGUCUGAGACCUCUGGGAGACUUUUUAUGGAAACUGACUUGUGUUUUGUUUGUGAUGGAUGAUAAAGUAGGCCGCGUUUUCUUGCUUGUAACCAUUAUAUUGUUGGAUUCUAUUUCUUUUCUAUUGAUUUAAUCGUCUGCCUUCUUGUUUCUUUCUGUUUCUUGUAGGUGUGAAGCAUAUUUUUGAUUUAUCAUAGCCCAAUUUAUUGAAGGCUUCUCUUGUUAAAUUACAUGCGUUAAGAUAAUUGUCGGAAUUAGGUUUACAAUUAAGUUUCUCAUCCUGAACGGUUUUUUUUUGGUAAACUAGCUGCUGAUGUAGUGCUUCAUCUGAUGUUUAUUUUCUUUCUUUUCCUUAUUUUUUUUCCUCCUCUUUGCAUGAGCUUCUGCUUCCAGCUUGUCGAUGUCCAUCUGAUUUCAAUGUUUUUUGUAUAUGGCGUAGUUUGUUUCCUAGAUGCAAAAGUAUAUAGCAUAUUGAAGUAUUAGAAUUUGUAGGCACAGUGGAAAGAAAUAAUAAAGUGAAAAUGAUCUUUAGAAACAUUUAAUUUUACUUUAGCUGUAUCAAGAUGUCAUACAAAGAAAUUAAAAGAGAAAAUAAUAUAGCUAAACCUUGUGCUACCCAUGAAGGUAAAACAUAGUUUGAGAUGUGAUCCACAUUAAAUGAUGUGCAGAUCCAUGAAAAAUGGCCGUCAAAAUUCAGUACCACUGAUAAAACUCAGUACCACUUGCACUGAGUUGAAGCCCAAAAUGGCCGUCAAAAUUCUCUUCUUCUUGAAAGUCCCAACAUCUGCAUUAAGCAUGUUUUUUUCCCCUGGGGUAAGUGCCAGAGCAUGUUUUCACCAUUUACUUUUGGACUAUCUUCUGUUUACCAACUAAUUCAAAACCCCCGCUCGUGAAUCUGACCUACCAUGGUUGUCACUUGAUUGGUAGUUAGAAACUUGAAAAUUUUGCCAAACGUUGAUGCGGCAAUGGGGUAAUGAUUUUGUCAUAUUAUGCUCUUUUUUUGUUCUAUUUUGGGGUUUGCAAUUACUUGUUAUGCUUUCUUUUGUAUUGUAGUAGCUAUGGAAGGAACAAGCAACUCAAGAAAUGAUAGUCUCAUAUGGACUGAUACUCAACUAGAAUAUCUCAUAAAUCUUCUAGUUCAGCAAUCACGACUACCUGGCAUGAAGUCAGGCGGCAAUCUAAAGCCAAAAGCUUAUAAAGCAAUUGAACAGAAGAUGAUAGAAAAGUUUGGGCCAGGUUUCACAAUAGAAAAAAUAAAAAACAAGUUGAAGAUUACAAAAGCAGAUUAUAUUAUAUGCAAGCAAAUUUUGGCAACAAGUGGGUUUGGUUGGGACCCAACAAACAAGUGCGUAGAUGUUGACAAUGAAGUUUGGGCCGUCUACAUUCAGAAAUUCCCUGAGAGGCGGAAAUUCAAAGGAGGGCAAAAAUGGAAACACUAUGAAGAGUUACAUGAAGUGUACGGGUCAGUCAACUGCCACGGGUCGUGAUGGUAAUAAUUAUACUUCGUACAUGGUGACUGAAGAUUGUGAGUCUAAUCAUGCACCAGAGACCUCUAUAACCCAUACGCCUGAUUUCGGGAUAAAUAUUGAUGAAAAUGUAUCUUUCACACAAAUGUUGAACAGUGAUUCUCUUAUACCAUCACCGACACAUGUUCAACAAGAUUCACAACCUGCUGCAUCUGAAAGUAGGACCACGAACUCAUCAAACAAAAGAGCAAGAUUAAGUACGAAUAACGAGGACUAUCAAACGAUAUUACAUGACAUAGCUGAUAGUUUUCGAACAAUCAUAAACACAUCUACAACACAAACAUUGGACAAAUGUUUGGAUAUAUUGCAUGAAAUGCUCGACUCGGGAGAGAUUGAUAAUGACAUGCACUUAAGAGCCUUGAUGCUAAUGGAGCAGGGAAAUAAGCCAGUCAUCUUCCUCAAACUUCGGUCGACCAAACGUGUGCCUUGGUUGCUGCUUAAUCUCAAUCAUCAAUAAUUCCUACAUCGGCGUAGGCAAAUUGUUCACCCUUAAGGGGAAUAGACACCCGCGGAGGCUUCAUAAGCCAUCUCUAUAAGGAGCUGAACCGGCUCGGCGUAUCUACCUUCAUCGACAAUGAAAAUUUAAGGAAAGGUGAAAGUAUCAAGCAACUCUUUACAUACAUGGAAGCAUGCCAGAUUUUUGUGCCCAUCCUAUCGAAGAAUUACGCAGAGUCGAAAUGGUGCCUCUUGGAAGCAGCCAGGAUGGUCCAGAUUCGUGAGUCUAAUGUGGAAAAUAGGAGGAUUAUUCCUGUGUUCUAUGAUGUCUACCCUUCUGGCGUCAAAGACGAUGAUGGGAUAUUCCAAGCUUCGAUUACGGCGAACCAAAAUGAUUGGAAAUUAGGGAAGAAGAAGGUGGAGGAAUGUAGAGGCGCCUUGAGAUCAAUAGCGGGAAUUUUUGGGUACUCUCUCGUCGCUGAUACAAAUGGGAAUGAGGCAGAACGAAUUACCCUCAUAUGCAAACGGGUUGAAGAGUUACUUGGCAGGGUUCCUUUUGGUGUACAGCCUAUUGGCAUCGAUCUUUUGGGAUGUUGGACAGAGAAAAGAAUGGUGUCUGCGUGAUGGGAAUCUGCGGAUUGGGUGGAAUAGGCAAACCAAUAACUGCUAAAGCUGUUUAUGACAAGAUAUCCACUAAAUUUGAAGGUGGCAGUUUCAUAUCAGAUGUCAAGGAAACAACGAAGAAGAAGGGGCUGCCCUCACUACAAGCCAAGCUCAUUUGUGAUGUUUUAAAAAAGCAAAGCUUAUCCAUCGACACAGUUGAGGAAGGAAGGAAUUUGAUGAAGCAAAGGCUUGGGCAUAAGAGAGUCCUUAUCGUAUUGGAUGACAUUGACCACCACAAUCAAUUGGAUGCACUGAUAGGCAAUCACAUACAUCAAAAGCCAGAAGAUUUAUUUGGGGCAGGAAGCAUGAUCAUUGUAAGUACAAGAGAUAAGCCGAUACCCGAUAGGCAUGGGCUGAGAGAACACGAAAUUUGAUUCCCUCAAGAACUAAAACAACCAUGGUCGCUGAAAUUAUUUCGCCUCCAUGCAUUUAAACAUGAACUGCCAAGUUUGGAGCUUCUCGAGCUGGCAAAGGAAGUUCUAAAAGUUGCAGGAGGCCUACCAUUAGUUCUGGUAGUAUUUGGGUCGCACUUUGCUGCUUUAAGAGGCAAAAGAGAAUGGGAAGUUGAGAUAAGAAAACUGAGAAGGGAUCAACACAAUGAUAUUCAUGAGAGACUGAAACUAAGCUAUGAUGGAGUAGAUUUUGCGCAAAGGUGUGUAUUUCUGGACAUAGCAUGCUUUUUCGCUGGCAUUGAUAGUCCAUAUAUGCAACUUAUGUGUGGGAGGAUUGUGGCUACAUUCUAGAGAGUUCUCCAGGAAAGAUCACUUAUUAGCAUUGGCAACCAAGAUGAGUUCAUAAUGCAUGACCAAAUUCGAGAUAUGGGAAGAUGGAUAGUUCAAGAAGAAGGAAAGCAUGCCUCGAACGUACAACAGACUUUGGGAUAGGAAAGACAUAUUGGAGGUGUUGAAAGAUGUAAAGAUAAAACAUUAAUCGAAUUUACAUUCAAUCAUUCUAUUUAUGCAUCGCUAAUAGCAUGAGCACCAUCAGAUUCUAGCAAAAUUCAAAAGCCAAUCAUUACUGUGGCAAUGAAAGAGAGAAACAUAUUUGACUUGGAAA